rnacentral:lncRNA from 1 species
GUCCCAAUAUCACACAUGACUCCAAUAUCACACGUGUGUACCCAAUGUCACAUACGUGUCCCAAUGUCAUACGUGUAUCAAUGUCAUACGUGUAUCAAUGUCAUAUGUGUAACAAUGUCAUAUGUGUAACAAUGUCAUACGUGUAUCAAUGUCAUANUCAUACGUGUAUCAAUGUCAUACGUGUAUCAAUGUCAUAUGUGUAACAAUGUCAUAUGUGUAACAAUGUCAUACGUGUAUCAAUGUCAUACGUGUCCCAAUGUCAUACGUGUAACAAUGUCAUACGUGUCCCAAUGUCAUACGCAUAACAAUGUCAUACGUGUAACAAUGUCAUACAUAUAAUGAUGUCAUACGUGUAACAAUAUCAUACGAGUCCCCAUGUCAUACAUGUCCCCAAUAUCACACGCAUGUACCCAAUGUCACAUACGUGUCCCGAUGUCAUUCAUGACCCCAAUGUCACAAUGCCAUACAUGUCACAAGCGUGUCCACUGUGUCACACGCGUGUCCUUGUCAUGUCACACGUGUCCUGGUGGUCACAUUUGCGUGUCCAUUGUCACACGUGUGACCCCCAUUCACACACGUGUCCCUGUUGGUGUCACACGCGUGUCCUUCUCAUGUUAGAUGCAUGUCCAUAGCGUCAUACGUGUCCUUGUCAUGUCACACACAUGUCUAUAGUGUCUUAUGUGUGUCCUUAUCAUGUCACACGCGUGUCCUUGCCGUGCCACACACAUGUCCAUUGUAUCACACACAUGUCCAUUGUAUGACACGCGUGUUGUUGCCGUGUCACACGCGUGUCCUUGCCGUGUCACAUGUGUGUCCAUUGUCACACGCGUGUCCUUGUCAUGUCACAUGCGUGUCCUUCUCAUGUUAGUCAAAUGUCCAUAGUGUCAUAUGUGUGUCAUCAUCAUGUCACAAGUGUGUCCUUGCCAUGUCACACGCGUGUCCAUUGUGUCAUACGUGUCCUUGUCAUGUCACACACGUGUCCUUCUCAUGUUAGACGCAUGUCCAUAGUGUCACACGUGUGUCCUUGUCAUCUUACACACAUGCCCACUGUGUCAUACGUGUCCUUGUCAUGUCACACGUGUGUCCUUGUCAUGUCACACGCAUGUCCAUUGUAUCACACACAUGUCCAUUGUGUCACACGCGUGUCCUUGUCAUGUCACACGCGUGUCUUUCUCAUGUUAGACGCAUGUCCAUUGACAUCACACACGUGUUGUUGCCAUGUCACACGCGUGUCGUUGCCGUGUUACACGCGUGUUGUUGCCGUGUUACACGCGUAUGCUCCCCCCGUGUUCCAUGUUGGUGUUUCCCGUGUCUCCCAUUGGCGGCUCCACGUCCCCGUCGUCAGACACAGGAUCCUCUGGGGGCACAAAGGGGGGAAAUCAAUGGGGCUGCCCCAUAGCGGAGCCCUAUAGGGAUCCCUGCCCCAUAGCGUAGCCCUACAGGGAUCCCUGACCCAUAGCAGAGCCCUAUAGGGAUCCCUGCCCCAUAGCGGAGCCCUAUAGGGAUCCCUGCCCCAUAGCGGAGCCCUAUAGGGAUCCCUGCCC